rnacentral:rRNA from 1 species
GAUGAACGCUAGCUACAGGCUUAACACAUGCAAGUCGAGGGGCAGCAUGAACUUAGCUUGCUAAGUUUGAUGGCGACCGGCGCACGGGUGAGUAACACGUAUCCAACCUGCCGAUGACUCGGGGAUAGCCUUUCGAAAGAAAGAUUAAUACCCGAUGGCAUAGUUCUUCCGCAUGGUAGGACUAUUAAAGAAUUUCGGUCAUCGAUGGGGAUGCGUUCCAUUAGCUUGUUGGCGGGGUAACGGCCCACCAAGGCAUCGAUGGAUAGGGGUUCUGAGAGGAAGGUCCCCCACAUUGGAACUGAGACACGGACCAG